rnacentral:rRNA from 1 species
UACGUAGGGUGCGAGCGUUAAUCGGAAUUACUGGGCGUAAAGGGUGCGCAGGCGGAUAAAUAAGUUAGAAGUGAAAGCCCCGGGCUCAACCUGGGAACAGCUUUUAAUACUGUAGAUCUAGAGUUUGUCAGAGGGGGGUAGAAUUCCAAGUGUAGCAGUGAAAUGCGUAGAUAUUUGGAGGAAUACCGAUGGCGAAGGCAGCCCCCUGGGAUAAAACUGACGCUCAGGCACGAAAGCGUGGGUAGCAAACAGG